CCUACGGGAGGCAGCAGUGGGGAAUUUUGCGCAAUGGGGGGAACCUUGACGCAGCGACGCCGCGUGGGUGAUGAAGGCCUUCGGGUUGUAAAGCCCUGUUGGGGGGGAAGAUAAUGACGGUACCCCCUGAGGAAGCCCCGGCUAACUACGUGCCAGCAGCCGCGGUAAGACGUAGGGGGCGAGCGUUGUCCGGAAUUACUGGGCGUAAAGGGCGUGUAGGCGGCUUUUCAAGUCGGCUGUGAAAUUCCCCGGCUUAACCGGGGGGGUGCAGUCGAAACUGAUGGGCUUGAGUGCAGGAGAGGGUGGUGGAAUUCCCGGUGUAGCGGUGACAUGCGUAGAUAUCGGGAGGAACACCGGUGGCGAAGGCGACCUCCUGGCCUGUUACUGACGCUGAGGCGCGAAAGCUGGGGGAGCAAACAGGAUUAGAUACCCUGGUAGUCCCAGCUGUAAACUCUGGGUACUAGGUGUGGGGGGCUUCGAUGCCCUCUGUGCCGUAGUUAACGCAUUAAGUACCCCGCCUGGGGAGUACGAUCGCAAGGUUGAAACUCAAAUGAAUUGACGG
rnacentral:rRNA from 1 species